CCCUCCUUCCCUUCCUCCUUUUCUUUCUACGAUUCCCUUUAUUUUUCCUUCAUUCCUCCCUCUUUUUGUCUCUUCUGGAGGAGGUGAAGGAGGGUCAGCUUCAGGCGCUGCGAGUCAGCGGGGAUCACGGUGAGGCCCAAGCACUGCAGGCUGAGGCCACAGAGCGAACACUUGUGCUGAGCCGGGCCCUCUCGUGAGGCUGGGGUGCGGGAAGUCCGGGCAGGAGAGACCCGCCCCCGCCGUUGCUGAGCUGAGACCCGGCUGAAAGAGAGGGGUCCGAUUAAUUCGAAAAUGGCAGACAGAGCUGAGCGCUGCCGUUCUUUUCAGGAUUGAAAAUGUGCCAGUGGGCCAGGGGCGCUGGGACCCGCGGUGCGGAAGACUCGGAACAGGAAGAAAUAGUGGCGCGCUGGGUGGGCUGCCCCGCCGCCCACGCCGGUUGCCGCUGGUGACAGUGGCUGCCCGGCCAGGCACCUCCGAGCAGCAGGUCUGAGCGUUUUUGGCGUCCCAAGCGUUCCGGGCCGCGUCUUCCAGAGCCUCUGCUCCCAGCGGGGUCGCUGCGGCCUGGCCCGAAGGAUUUGACUCUUUGCUGGGAGGCGCGCUGCUCAGGGUUCUGGUGGGUCCUCUGGGCCCAGGAGCUGGGAGGGCUGCGCCGGCCUCUGGAGCCCCGGGAGCCAGUGCCGAGGUAGGGAGACAACUUCCGCCGCAGGGCGCCGGACGGUCGGGGCAGAGCAGGCGACAGGUGUCCCUAGGCCGCAGGGCGCUUCCAUAGCGCCAUCCCCACCAGGCACUCUACUCGAAAUCGGAAAGCUCGACCUUUUGCGUUCGCCUCUGCCAAGCCUGUUAUUUGUGCUGGCCGCUGGGUCUGGAGCUGCGCUUCUCGGCCCCUCCCCGGUGGAGCGCAGAGGGCUGGUCUGCAAGCGCGGCCUCCAGCCCCGCGGCUCCCCGGCCCAGGAGCCAGGCGCGGGCUGACCCGGGAGCACCCGGCAGCGGAGGGGGCUGGAAGCGGACCCUAGGCCUCUCCUGUGCCACCCGGCCCUACCGCGCGGCCGCGGGGCGCUCUCCUCUCGGGCGCAGCGGUCCUUCAGCCCAGGGCAGGUUCCUCCCUUUCCUACUCGGAACGUGGCAAAGAUACCCCAGUCCCAGCCCCUCCAGCUGAGAGCUGUUGCCCAAGGUCGUCGCUACUUGUCCGCUCAAUGGUGACCCCUUGGCAGAGAACUAGGGAUGAUUCCACUCCGGUUGAUGUUUUAGGGGAAAUUAAAAGAACAUUCGGUUUUCUGAGUCUCCUUCCGGGGAGGCGUGGUGGUAACUGGUUUGCUGGGAAGAGCCGUUCCUUAACCGCAUGCAACAAAGCAGGUGUGGAAUCCGGACGAGAGGGCACUCACUGCCUUCUGCCCCCUUUGGAAAUAGAAAAAGCCUUCGAAGCAGCAAUCCAAAGAUCAAAUGAUUUGCGGUCAAUGAUUUCAAUUAAACCAGAAAUUAGUAAGGGAGGGCCGAGAAGACACGGCUGCUCAGAAGCUGUUCGCUGUUUGAGGGAUUUCCCGGAGAGCCUGUUAAAAGAUGCGAAGUGGUGGGUGUACCGCUCAGCCACCUUUAAACCGGCUCUGUGCGUUCUGGCUCUGGAAAGCAAGUCUCCAGGCAUUUGGGCUCAGAAUUGCUGGGCCCCGAGUUUGGGCGGGGGUGGUCCUUCUGGGGGUCAGGCCUUGAGCAGCUUGCACUGGUGGCAGGUUUGGGAGCAGUUGAGGGGCUUCCUGUGUGUCUUUUGGAGGGGGUGACCCUGGAAGUUGGCACUCUGGAAGGGAGCUGUUUGGCCCUAGAGUUUUGGAAAGGGCCCUGAACCUGUUCGGUCCCCCUCGGAAAGGGAAGGGAGCAGUGGCUUAGUCCCUCCCUCCUCCAUUCGUGCAAUGCCUGGGGUAGGGGUAGACCUGGAGCCGGUGGACUCAUAUCCUUGGAAUUCGUCAGGACAGCUGCUCCGGGGCCUUGGCCCUCAGUCAGUCUGGGGCUGAGGAGUAGGGAAGCUGGGAACUUGGGGCAGAGGAAGAAGAUGCGUUUAGAAAGACCUCCAUUAUGCAAACUGGAGUCCAUUUAUGCAAACUGGUCACCCUUCCAGUAGCUCCAAAGAGUGGCAGUGGAGUGGCAUCUUGAUUGAUUUAACCUCUUCUCAGGGGACCUGGGUCUGCGAGGGAGGAUAUGGCUGCGGGGUUGGAAUAGGAUCUGUCUGAGCUGCCAGGGUCAGGGUGGUGGCCCUAGGGAGGUUUUAGGGCCAGGGUGGUCCCGGGCUGUGGCAGGGGCUCUCAGAUCGCCUCGGGCUCUCAGCUGCAAGGUGAAAAAUACCAUGAGGAAUUGAUCUGCCAAGGGCGGUCUUGUCUCAAAGCAAGUGGAUUGCUGGGGUAAAGAAUCUAGAGACCAGCUUAGGACUCUGGGAGGAAGAAAAAAAAAAAAAGAAUAGCAUAGUCCUAAGGAACUGCAAGGAUCACCAGAUUAACCCUUCAUACCUGGGGAAAUUAAGGCCAGACAUGACACAGGCCUUUCCCAAGGCUCUGUAGCAAGGGCAAUAGCAGGCCAGUUGCUGCCACUGCGGUCCUGUGGGGCAUGUUCUCACUCCACUGCACCCAGGAGGCUGCCAGCCUCUGUUCCUUUUAACAUAGAUCUCCUCAGUUGUUAAGACAGAAAGAGGAACUCAGAGGGGUCCCUGUGUGCAAGGCAGAGGGAGACCACCAGAACCAGGGUAAGCACCCCACUUGGUAGCCAGUUCAAGGACUUGGGGAUGUUUUCAACAUUUACAGCGAGGUUUGAGGCCCCAUUGUCAUGCAGCGCUACUCGGCCUUGGUCUCCUUAUCUGUAAAAUGGGCCCAUUAGCAAUGCACAGGGUUGCUGUGAUGAAGGGUGAGGUCCCACAAGCAAAAGCUGUGCAGUGAGGGGGGAAUCCUAAGCAUUGUUCCUAUGCCAUUCACCCCUUCCUGUGAGCUCCCCAUAUUCCCUGGCUCAAAGGAGUCUUGAAUGGCAGGGAUGGAGGACUCACUGCCUGGACUUUGAAGACCCCUGCUUUCUGGGUGACCACCUUUUCUUCCCUUUGACAGUGAACUAAUACAUUGGAGGUAGAUAGUGCUGGGAAGAGGACAGGAGACCACGGCUGACUUUGGACAUGGGCUCGAAAUUGAUAACUUGAUGAGUCUUGGAGGGUGGUUAAGAUAAGCUCGGGGCUGGGGCAGCGCUGAGGUCUGAUGGUCAGCCAGCCCUCCCCAAAGUGUGGCCCUCCGUUCUGGAGAUAGGGGCUUUGGAAACUGCAAAAGCGUCCUGGCAGGCCAGCUCUGGUUGCUCCCUGGCCAUAGCUGCUCUGACUACAGGCAGCAGGACGCAGGUCGGCCUCUGCCCAUCGGAGGUCAGAGGCAGGGCCUCCAGCACCAGACUCAGCAGUGCCACUGCAAACCUGGCACAACAGGCUGGUCCCAGGACUCAGCUCAGCAGUGAAGUUGGAAACCAAGGUUGAGUCUCCCCAUCUCCCUUUCCCCAACCCGAAAGACCCAAGAUGGGUGUGGGUGAAAGAGGGAGAAAGAAUUGCUACUCCAGAAACUGUCAUUUGCCCACACGAAACGAGGUGGGGUUCAAGGUCUGAACUCUUCCAGUGCCUGGGUGCCUUUGGGUUUAAAUUCAGCUGCAGGUGCCCCCAUCACCACUUCCACCUGAGCACACCACGAGAAGCCAGGUUAUCUUAGAAACUGUUUCCCGGAAUCAAAGCGACUUGAUUUGGAGAGUUGGGUGAGGAGAAACUCACCCCUAUACCCCUCAGGGCGUCAGAGAUGUGAGGCAAUUCUCUACCUCCGCUGGAAAAAAUGCAGAUUUAUUAAAGGUCGACUGUUUAGCAGAACAACGUAGAUUUUUUACAACGCUUUCCCCGUCUCUGCUUUGAAGCCUGCCAGGCUGCAGCUGGGGAUCCAGGAGGGAAAGCCCGCAGGCGCAGAGGGGACAAUCCGGGAAGUGGUAAAGGGGACACCCGGGCACAGGGCCUGUGCUUUCGUUGCAGGCGAGGAAGUGGAGCGCGCGCUGCAGAUUCAGCGCGGGGCUAGAGGAGGGGACCUGGAUCCCUGAACCCCGGGGCGGAAAGGGAGCCUCCGGGCGGCUGUGGGUGCCGCGCUCCUCGGAGCCAGCAGCUGCUGGGGCGGCGUCCGAACUCCCCAGGUCUGCGCACGGCAAUGGGGGCACCGGGCCUUCUGUCUGUCCUCAGAAUACGUAGGAUACCCGCGGGCGACAAGCCGGGCCAGGCUAGGAGCCUCCUUCCCUGCCCCUCCCCAUCGGCCGCGGGAGGCUUUCUUGGGGCGUCCCCACGACCACCCCCUUCUCACCCGGUCCCCAGUUUGGAAAAAGGCGCAAGAAGCGGGCUUUUCAGGGACCCCGGGGAGAACACGAGGGCUCCGACGCGGGAGAAGGAUUGAAGCGUGCAGAGGCGCCCCAAAUUGCGACAAUUUACUGGGAUCCUUUUGUGGGGAAAGGAGGCUUAGAGGCUCAAGCUAUAGGCUGUCCUAGAGCAACUAGGCGAGAACCUGGCCCCAAACUCCCUCCUUACGCCCUGGCACAGGUUCCCGGCGACUGGUGUUCCCAAGGGAGCCCCCUGAGCCUACCGCCCUUGCAGGGGGUCGUGCUGCGGCUUCUGGGUCAUAAACGCCGAGGUCGGGGGUGGCGGAGCUGUAGAGGCUGCCCGCGCAGAAAGCUCCAGGAUCCCAAUAUGUGCUUGCGUGGAGCAGGGAGCGGAAGAGGCAGCCGGUCCUCACCCUCCUCUCCCGCCACGCACAUAUCCUUCUUGACUUCGAAGUGGUUUGCAAUCCGAAAGUGAGACCUUGAGUCCUCAGAUGGCCGGCAACGCGCCGAGGUCACGCUCCCCAGAAACACCCCUCUCCCCUCCCCUACCCCAGCUCCCCCUGGGGCGGGUGGUAAUUGGGGGAGGAGAGGCCGCAGGCAGGGAAGGGGUGGGAAAGCCAGAGAGGGAGGCACAAAGUGAUGGCAGCCCGGCAAACACUGGGGCUUCGGGCUGGGCCGCGCUCGUUUAAUCCCACAAAAAUCCCAUUUUGGAGGUGAGAAAUAGAGGUUAGAGGUCGGGCCCUUCUGGAGAUCAGACCGAGGAGACGGGCCCAGCUGGCGUCUUAAAGCAAGGAGGGGGAGUCGGGAGGAGGUGAGACCCCUGCACCCAGGUGGGGCUCCCAAACCGUUCUGGAUUUACCACACUCCCAGGUCCGAUUUUCCAUGGAGGGCUGGGGUUAGGGACUGGCACCUUCUUGUUGUUAACCGCAUUUGAUAUUCACAAGAACCCUGUGAGGAGACUUUGUCACCGUUUUUAGAUGCCUGAGGUUGCCGGAGGGGCAGUGAGAGAAUCGUCUAACCUGGUGUUCCUACCACAGUCCAGGCCCUGUGUCCUGGGCUGGACCCACAGCCCCUGCCACCACCCAGAGGAAGGCGCGAAGCUGGCUGCCUCCUUUACGGGUCUCCCUUAGGUGCCCUCAUGAAGGGGGACGGCCACCUCACAGUGCAGGAACUAUCUCCCCGUUUGCUCCCAAAUAGUCUUCUUGGUGUGGUGCUGUCUAUGGUCUGUGACCUGCAUCUGGAGUUACCCCCAGGACCAGCUUCGGAAGAGGAGGGAUCGCUUGGAGGCCGUGCAGUGUGAGGAACGGCAGGCAGGGUGUGGGACCAACAUGCACACACUCGCAGGUGCUGGGGCCAGGGAGGAAUGAGGCGCUGGCUCCCUUUCCCUCCAUUUCUCCCUGGGGGUCCCAGCAACCUGGCCAUCCCUGACUUCCAACAGCACAGCGUCCCCACAGGUCCUGCAGUGCUCUGCAGGGGUGCAGGGAGCUCCCCUCCCCCCAGCCGCAACCUCACCUUCCUCACCCCCACCCCUCCGGCAGGAAACCACAGGCUGGGUUGGGGACCCCUGGUGCUCCAAGAGAGCAGUGAGUGCUGGGAGCCGCUAACCCCGAGGCGCCUAGCACAGACUCUUCUCACCCCUUAUUUCUGAAAUAAAGCCCUUCCUUAGGUCCAGAUGAGGACCACGUGCUCAGUGCCUCACUUUCGUGGGAGUGUAUAUCACUUUACAGUAUCAAGACAAUUUUCUUUCGUUACAAAUCUUUAUUUAGUCUCUGCGUUUAGACCAAAGUAGAUUUUUAUGGGCUGAGUGAAAAAACCUCGCCCGCAUUGGUUUCUGAUGGAACAGCUGGCAGCGCCACGGCCCCGGGUGGGGUGGCCUAGAGGCAGGGGUGCUUGGGAGGAACAUCUAGCACCCGACCACCUCCACCAGGUGGGAAAGGGACGUUUGCACCAAAUCUCCGCCGGCAAAGCAGAGGCUUUGGGGAAUUACAGAAAAACUAUAAUGAUCUAAAAGAGAACAAGUUAUCUUGAACUGUGCGGGUAUUUGAAUCAUACAGAAAAUUGUCCUGUGUGCCCAAUGCACUUUUGCAUGUAGAGCCAGGGCCUUCGAGGAAGCUUUCAGGAGAUCCCGGGCAGCGGAGUCUGGUCUGGAGUUUCAUUUCCGUAGGUGCAGAUUUCUCCCCAAGUCUUCCCGCCAUGGGCUUUGCAAGAAGCCAGGGCCCAGAGGCCACGCUCACCGUUAACACUGCACAGGGCAAAGGUGGCUCCAGGACAACUGCCCAACCCCAGGAACGACCCAGCAGCAGAGAAAAGGACAGCUGCCAGGGUGCCUUUGUCGCUUUUUGGAAAUCAGAAUUCCUGGGUCCUUAGUUAAGUCUUACUUCACCAAAUCCCAGGACCUUCACAUUUUGGUUCUUGCCAUUGCUAACAGUUGUAAAUGCUGCCGCCACGAGGCCUGGGAGGAAGGACCCGCUGGUGAGAGCACAGGGAGUGCUGCUGUGAUCACGGUGGUGAUGCGGGGUUUUUAGUUGCCGAAUAGGGAAGGGUUUGCGAAGCCGCUGCCCUGGGCCGAGGUGCAUUUUACGCUUCCAGAGGUCGAGGCCUCCAGAGACCGCGAUGCCCAGGGCGUUCCCGGGGAGGCUGAGAGACCCAGGGUGCUCUGGGUGACUGCACGGCGACUCCUCGGGAACCCACUCGUGGCUGCCCGCUUGGAAGGGCUUUGCGGCCCCGGGAACGAUCUCCAGGAUCUCCACGGCUGCUUUUGCGGAGGUGGUGAAGAAGGGCAGGAGGCCUGUUGAGCGGAGGAGUCCGGGGAUCCCUAAUUAUGUGACAGGAGACCCUUUCCAGUUCGGCCUGUGGCCCAUCCCUCUCUCACCGCCGGCAGAUUGGAGUCUGCUCUCGGGGAGCCCCCAGGUAAACCCCUCACAGGGAGAAGGUUUCGGAUUGGAAGGAGGACCGCGCUCGUGGGGCGCCUGUGAGAGCUGGGAAGCCCAAGGGGUAGCGUGUAGGGGGUUUUUUAUGCGGGAGGAGCUGCCUCCUGGGCGGCGGGGACUUUCUGUCUCAGCCUGUCUGCCUUUGGGAAAACAAGGAGUUGCCGGAGAAGCAGGGAAAGAAAGGAGGGAGGGAAGGAGGGUCCUUGGGGGAAUAUUUGCGGGUCAAAUCGAUAUCCCCGUUUGGCCACGAGAAUGGCGAUUUCAAAGCAGAUUAGAUUACUUUGUGGCAUUUCAAAUAAAACGGCAAUUUCAGGGCCAUGAGCACGUGGGCGACCCGCGGGAGCUGUGGGCCUGGCAGGCUCGCACAGGCGCCCGGGCUGCCGGCCGCUGCGGGGAUUUCUCCCCCAGCCUUUUCUUUUUAACAGAGGGCAAAGGGGCGACGGCGAGAGCACAGAUGGCGGCUGCGGAGCCGGGGAGGCGGCGGGGAGACGCGCGGGACUCGUGGGGAGGGCUGGCAGGGUGCAGGGGUUCCGCGUGACCUGCCCGGCUCCCAGGCAUCGGGCUGGGCG